UACGAGGGGGGGCGAGCGUUGUUCGGAAUUAUUGGGCGUAAAGGGCGCGUAGGCGGCCUGCUAAGUCGGAUGUGAAAUCCCUCGGCUCAACCGAGGAACUGCAUCCGAUACUGGCGGGCUUGAAUCCGGGAGAGGGAUGUGGAAUUCCAGGUGUAGCGGUGAAAUGCGUAGAUAUCUGGAGGAACACCGGUGGCGAAGGCGGCAUCCUGGACCGGUAUUGACGCUGAGGCGCGAAAGCUAGGGGAGCAAACGGG
rnacentral:rRNA from 1 species